UUUUAUCUGAAACGCAGCGUUUCUUAUUUUGUCGUUUCAUCAAUCUCCUUUCUCCGCCGACCACCUUAGGCGAUUAUAAGGUUUCCAUUGAUUCAUUCGUCUUCUUCCUCCUGAUCCAGCAAUCGAUCGGUUAUGGAUUCAUUACUAUUGACCUCAGUCCUUCACCGUCUUCUCAUGCUUCACUCCUUCGUCCUCUUCGCUCCGACGAUCUACAUUCCGUAACGAUGGAUGUUUCAUCACCAUUAACAUCGUUCUUUAAUCCAUGGACUCAUACCAACCACGAUCGAUCAAUGAAUGCUUCUUAUUUGGAUCUUCACCUAUAAAAAGGGCAGACUUCACCUUUCAGAAAUCAUCCUCUCGAUUAAUAAUAUCAUAAGAAACUCAUCUUCUUCGAUUUAAUGUCUCAGUCAUCCAUCAUUCUCUCUGAUUUGAAGGAUGGCCGUGUUCUUCCACUAUGUAGGUGCGAUUGCUGAGGUUCUCGGGAUCGUGAAACUGAGAAGAGGUGGCGAUCUGAUGGACUAAGACAUACUCCUCCUCGACGCUAAGUUUAUUCGUGUAUUGAUUAUCAACAUCAAGGAGCUUUCUCCUGCUGCUUUGGAUAUGAGCAUGGUUUUAGACAGUAGACAAAACUCUAAUGAAGGUGAGUCCCAGGGAACACUAUCAGGAAGUGAUCCAAAACUUUCACAAACAAGAAGGGAACACUUGCCAUUUGCACCUAAAGCACAGAGCUUGCAGAUACUGGGUCAUGCCCUAAGAUAUUACUGUUACAUGAAAACACAAUAGCAGAGCCCUUGCAUCAGAUGAUAGCAUCUUCAGAGGAGACUUUGAUUGGAAAGUGGCAUCGAACCAGAAGUGAAAGCUAUAAGCUUAGUGUUUCUUCUCCUGCAUUCUUCAUCUGUGUGCAUCAUAAACUAUGUUUACACGAGCAAUAAUGUCAACAACAGUGGUGAACAAUGUGCCAUCGGUACACUACCAACUAAACUGAAUAAAAAUUUAUGUUGGGAGCUUGCGUGAAGGAAGUGUUGUUGUUUACCACGAUGCAUCAUUCGUUAAGCUGUGGUUUUAAAACACCACGACAAAAAGCAGAAGAAAGUUUUUGGUUAAAGAACUGGCAAAAAAUGUUUGUAUGUAAUUAUUUUCUUUUGAAUUCAUUUUUCUCCUUUUUCCUGUUUUCAUUACGUUUUACUUUUUAAUUGUACCAUGACUGAAAGAAAU